UACGUAGGGACCAAGCGUUGUCCGGAUUUAUUGGGCGUAAAGAGCUCGUAGGCGGCCCUCCACGUCGGAUGUGAAAGCUCAGGGCUCAACCCUGAGAUGCCAUUCGAUACGGGAAGGCUAGAGGUAGGUAGGGGAAAGUGGAAUUCCUGGUGUAGCGGUGAAAUGCGUAGAUAUCAGGAGGAACACCGGUGGCGAAGGCGGUUCUCUGGGCAUUACCUGACGCUGAGGAGCGAAAGUGUGGGGAGCGAACAGG
rnacentral:rRNA from 1 species